rnacentral:rRNA from 1 species
GACGGAAGGUGCAAGCGUUGCUCGGAAUCACUGGGCGUAAAGGGUGCGUAGGCGGCUUGGUAGGUCUGGUGUGAAAGCCCCGGGCUCAGCCCGGGAAGGGCACUAGAAACUGCCAAGCUAGAGUGCCGGAGGGGAGAGUGGAAUUCCUGGUGUAGCGGUGAAAUCGCAGAUAUCAGGAAGAACACCCUGUGGCGAAGGCGGCUCUCUGGAACGCAAC